UCAAGCAGGGUCUUAGCUGCUCCAGCAACAAGCUAUUACUACCAACCAGGAAAACCCUCUACCUUCAGUUCAGCCUGUGGACUCUGUGCAAUGCGAGGAGACAGCUUCCCCUCAGAGCUCUAUCAUGGACGUGGACAACUGCUGUGCUGAUCCCCCGUGUUUUGCCAAAAGUGACCCACUCAGAAGCAAACAGCAUGGGAAAGUCUGCUAACAGCAUCUGAGAGUUUAAGUGAAAAUGAAUUUGAACUGAAUCCCACUGUGGUUGGUGAAAGAAUUCCUGCUAAUUUCAGUGGAUGUGGGAGAUUGGCCCUGAAACAUACAGCUCCUCAGGAUACUUACCUUGACCAGCUUUGCACUUCAAGUUAUCUCACUGGUUUCAGGCAAGUAUUUCAAGGCUUUGCUGAAUCCAUUGGAAGCUCACAGAGACCAUGAUUCAAAUCUUUUGUGGCAAUGGAGCAAUGACAACUCAAAAUGCAGCAAAGUAAUGGGAAAAGCAAGAGUUCUGUUCCUUAACAAGAAUGAUUCAACAAAACCAAAAUGAGUCAAUGUAAGUUUGCGAGUGGAUUUAAUGCAAGUUCUACCAAGCCUAGAACAUGUUUUGAAAUGUACAAAUUUUGCCAAAAGAGAAUGUUUUAUCUCUGUUUUGUUUAUUGCUUUGAUAUAAAUUAAGAUAUUGAUAAUAUUACUCUGGACUGUUACCUGUAUCUUCAAAACUGUGGAAAAUAUAGUGCUAGUGGAAUGGUUGUACCAAGGCUUGGGACAUCAGUUGAGACUAAGAGGACGUGGAUCAUUCUACAGCUUCAUCAUGGACAUCCUAAGUGCCCUGUGUCAGCUACUGCAUCUCAUUUCCUCAUUUAUAAAAUAUGAAUUGCUGUGACUCUCUGUUUGAGAGAAUGCUGUCAGCAUAAUACCUUUUCACGAUUAUGAGACACCUGAUAGUGAUUAAAAGCACUUAUGCGAAUAGAUGAAACCUGUUGAGACACACAGAUGGACAAAAAUAAAGAGGGAGAAUCUGAACACAGGAAAUUGUUUUCUGCUGAAUUACACUGUAACAAGUUUGAUAUUACACACACCACUCCAACACACAAAUACAUAUAUUUUGUACAUCCUUUAAUAGGAAUCCUU